UCUGGAAACGGAUGGUAAUACCGGAUGUGGCGCCUGGCGGCAUCGCCGGAGCGUCAAAGGGGGCCCGCAAGGGCUCUCGCCUGGGGAGGGGCUCGCGCACCAUCAGCUUGUUGGCGGGGUAACGGCCCACCAAGGCUUACGGUUAGCUGGUCUGAGAGGAUGACCAGCCCCACUGGGACUGAGACACUGCCCAGACUCCUACGGGAGGCUGCAGUCGAGGAUCAUUUGCAAUGGACGGAAGUCUGACGAUGCGACGCUGCGUGGAGGAUGAAGGCCUUCGGGUUGUAAACUCCUGUCUUAAAGG
rnacentral:rRNA from 1 species